GGACUGCGCUAGCCACUCUCCUUGGGAGUAUGCGUGUGGUCGGUCUCAUAUAACCACUCUUGAAGGAUGCUUUCGGACGUCAUUCUUUCCUGGUGUACAUGAUCGAGCGGACUUUGCUGGAGGUUGUCGCACAGCAGUUCCAGCAUCAGAGUCCCGAGGCGGACUGGCUUACGGCAAGCACUCCCGGACCGACCCGGACUCCCGGAAUGACCCGGUGGAUCUUAAGCAGUUGGGGGACCUAGAAAGGCUUGCCCCGCCUGAACUACGUCCGGAUCAGGAGCCUUUUUCCGGACUUGCUUCCAGCCGCUAGUCUGAGUCUCCGCACGUAGCGGUCACGAUUUCGUAUACGUGCCCCGGACAUCACGUCGGUGGUCUCGGGUCGCCGAAUCAAGUUCCACCCCGGUCCCAGACUCGUAUCUGCGUCAACAUGCUAUCAAGGCUGUCCCGGAAUGAUCUGCACACGCCUCCUCAGGACUAGGGCUUUCCUCCACUGUUUCCAGACUUGUCCCUGGUCGCCAGCGAGAGGGCAACCCGUACCGGUCACGUGACCAGCGGACUCGUCGUUUACAAGUCAUCGAAGGCACCCGCGAAGCAUCGACGUGGCCGCCGCCCUUUCGACCCUCCAUCGGCUUCUGCCGGGAACUGCUUCGAAACACCGAAGGACAACGCUUGCCUCCCUGACGACCUGAUCGAUUUGGACGUCGACGGACAGUUGUAAUUUUGUUCGAAUGCACGAACGCUUUUGGGAUAAGCGAGAUUGUGGGCAUUUUCGACAUUGCCUAUUUGUGUUGAUGGAUGCUGGAGGUUGUCGCCGAGGUAAUAAAUCUUUCUACGGUG